CCCGACUUCAAAAAGUUUGAGAACCACUGCUCUAAGCUCUUAACUAUUUCAGCCUUUUUCCAAUCUACUCAUAUGUCGUGUUCAUAGGCUGCCAUUGCCAAAGGCCUCUAUGCCUCCUGGUUCAACACAGCACAAAAUGAAUUGUACUAAGAAGAAACCUCAUGCUGGCUUGGUUGUCACUUGGAUUAACAAGAACCGCAUAUCUUGUUUAGAAAGAUAUGAAAAGUCCGCUACAGUCUCCAAAUCAUGGAAAUGUCAGAAUCUGCCAAGUCAAUGUUGAAGGACUUUUUAAAGCUAAAGGCGAAAUUAUCAGUAAAAUAAUGAAAGAACAAAAGAUUGAUAUUAUCGCCCUCCAAGAAACCCAUGUACCUGCUUCCCAACCUGCUAGACCAGUGAUUCCCAAUGUGGGGCGCACGCUUCACCAGGGGGCAAUUCGAAAAUGAAUUAUUAACAGUG
rnacentral:lncRNA from 1 species